rnacentral:pre_miRNA from 1 species
AAAAAGACAAACUCUAAAUUUCCGUGUCCAACGUUUGACUGUCCGUCUUACUUGAAAAAAUUAAAAAGACAAGUCACACAUAAAUUAUUAAUCAUGUUUUAUCAUCUAACAACAAUAAAAAUACCAAUUAUAAAAAAAUUCAUAUAAGACGGACAAUCAAACGUUGGAUACGAAAACCCAGGGUUUGUCUUUUU